CUCCCUACAGCAUGUCCCUGCUGCUGCGACGAGGAAGUUGGGAUUUCCACCAACACAAGCCUACUUGGAAUCAAAGAUUGAGAUACCUGCUAGAAUAACUGGAGUAUGACCAAAGCUUAAUUUGCAUCUUGAAUUUUAUGUAGAGCUACUGUAAUAGGUAAAUUGCUACCAUAUGGAA